rnacentral:rRNA from 1 species
GAUGAACGCUAGCUACAGGCUUAACACAUGCAAGUCGAGGGGAAACGACAUCGAAAGCUUGCUUUUGAUGGGCGUCGACCGGCGCACGGGUGAGUAACGCGUAUCCAACCUGCCCAUCACUUGGGAAUAACCUUGCGAAAGUAAGACUAAUACCCAAUGACAUCCCACGAAGACAUCUGAAUGGGAUUAAAGAUUUAUCGGUGAUGGAUGGGGAUGCGUCUGAUUAGCUUGUUGGCGGGGUAACGGCCCACCAAGGCAACGAUCAGUAGGGGUUCUGAGAGGAAGGUCCCCAACAUUGGAACGGAGACCCGGCCAAAACUCCUACGGGAGGAAGCAGUGAGGAAUAUUGGUCAAUGGGCGAGAGCCUGAACCAGCCAAGUAGCGGGAAGGAUGACGGCCCUUUGGGUUUUAAACUGUUUUUAUAAGGGAAUAAAGUGGGUCUCGUGAGACUUUUGCAUGUACCUUAUGAAUAAGGACCGGCUAAUUCCGUG